GCAUUAUUUCUCUUUUAAUUUCUAGUUUCUAAAAAUGAUUUUUAAUAUUUUUUAUUUUGUCAUUUGCUAUUUUUUAAUAAUUUUCUCUUUUCUGGUUAUUUUUAAUUCAUUUUAAAUAGUUUUUCAGAUCCAAAAAAUACCAAAAUAUUUUCUCAACCUCUUUGAACGAUGAUAGAUCUAUGAAAAAUAUUUUCAUCAAUUUAUUAAUUGAUUUGAGAUUUAUUUGAGAUUUUAGUUCAAUUAGGUUAUUUUUAUGCAUUUUUAAUUGAUCAAAAAUAGUUUCUGACUUUUAUAAAUGUUGAAAUUUUUUGUCAAACUUUUUUUGACCUUGUUGAACUUAGGAUAAUUCACUUGGACUUUUCAAAGUUGAUUUGAAGUGAGUUUGAAGUUUGACCUUUCUUUAAUAUUUUAAUUCAAGUUUUAUUUUAAAUAUUAAAAAAUGCCAAAAAUAUUUUGUUUAUUUCUUGACUUCUAAUCUUCAUUUUGCUUCUGUUUUCUAUUGUUUGACCUUGAUCUUCUCUAUCUUUGGUCAUAGCUUGUUGAUUAUCUCAUUCCAUUUCAUUUAAUGCACUUUAAUUCUUCAUGUCUAUUCUUNAGAUUGUUGGCGAACACUUGCCUACGUACCUCUUAAACAAGAUUAGGAUCAAAACCGUCUGUAGUUGGCGUAAAAAUUCAAAAUUGAGUUGGUGAAUUGAUUUGGUCCGAAAGCACUUAAAGGUACUUUUUGUGUUGAUCCAAGGGAGAAAAACUCAAACCUAAAACACAACCCACCAUGUGCAGGAUUAGCUUAACAUGUUAUGAGGGGGUUUAACCCUAUACGAUAAGCAUGGAAGACACAUUGUCCAUCACUAAGGAUAUAGGUGAGUAUUACGAGUCCUAACCUCAAAGCAUAACUCAAGAGCCUGAAUACGCUAAAGGUUUAAAAGAUUUAAUUAAGAAAGUGGCCAUUGAAACCACAAAAGUAUUUGAAUGAUGGUAUUUACGCAAAUGAAUAAGAUAUUUGACAAAAUAUGGUCAAAGGUGAUUUAGAAGUUCAAUUCAAAAAUAAGUGUUAUGAAAAAAGUUUGGGAAAAUCAAAAAAAGCCAUAAGGCUUAGGUUUCCUAAAUGUUGAAAACAAGGUUAAAUGUUGCAAACAAAAGUUUUGGUUUGGGUUUAGAAGGGAGAAGAAGAAUGAAUGGCAAAGUCCUAAUCAUACAUGAAGAGACAAGGGAUAAGAAAACAAGACCAACAAAUGGAGUUCCCUCUCUUUGACGAUCGAUAUUGAUGAAAUCAAGUAGCUCCCAUCUUGGAAUAUGCAAGCAAAAAUUUAAUAGUCGCUCAAGCAAUCAACACAUCAAACAAGCUCCUUAGGCGAAUCCUCAAUGUAUCUGGUUGUAUCUUUCACUUGGAUGAACAUUGGCAAUGGUUCCUUUUAACUCUUGAGCUCUCAUAGGAUCCCCUAGCACAAAAAGCACACACAUCAAAAAGUUCUAUGAAAGUAAAUCAAGAAUGGAACAAGAGUGUUGAGUUUGGGUCCUUCUAGUCCAUCUCAACAUUAAAGGUCCUUGUUACUCCAAUUUGCCAUAGGAAAGUUCUAGAAACUAAGUCGCAUUUGUCCAUAUUCUUUGCAUUUGGUCCACAAACAAUCAAAACAAAAACACAAGCACAAUUAAUUAUACUACACAAUUACGUGUGCUCAAAGUGAGCAAGAAGCAAUUGCAUUAAACAUACAUGUGCUAAAUGAGCAGAAGGGAAAAGAAAUGAUAUAUGUAAGAUAUAGUUAAAUUGAUAAAGUAAGUGCAAGAGUAAAUGUUAAUGGUUAAUUGUUAGUGUUAGUAGUUCAGGUGUCAUAGGCAUUUAAGCGCUAUGUUAAGCAAAUCGUAAUGGAGUUAUUGUGAAGUCACACUAUCUGAGGCGGUUAAUAGUAUAUUUAUGGCAACACAACAAGGUUAGAGGUCUUGAUUGUGAAUCAACACUCUACAACUUGCCAUGGCGCAGAAAGAAGAUGAGAAUGAUCUUGUUUGGUUUAGGUCCUUUUGCAUGUUUUAGAAAGCAAUCUUCCGUUAAUGGAAAGCCAUUCACUUUGAUCAUGUGAUCAAGUGAUUAGAUUUGAAUUCAAGGAAGAUUAAAACCUCCCUAUCAAUGCUAACCAUCGAACCUUUAACUCAUUGAUAAAAAAAGAAAAGAAGAAGAGAAGAAGAUGAAGAAAGUGAAAGAUAGCAUGAAGAAUUAAAGUGCAGCUUAAAUGAUCUCUUGUAUGAUUAGGACUUUAGCCAUUCUUCUUCUUCCCUCCACUCUAACCCAAACCAAAACUUUUGUGCAAACAUUUAACACUUGUUUUCAAACAUUAGAAACCUAAGCCUUAUGCUUUUGAUUUCCAAACUUUCUUUUCAUAACACUUAUUUUGAAUUGAACUUCUAAAUCAACUUUGACCAUAUUUUGUAAAUACUUUUCAUUGGUAAAUACCAUUCAUUCAAAUACUUUUGUGGUUUCAAUGGCCACUUUCUUAAUUAAAUCUUUUAUAACCUUUAGCUAUUAGGUUUGAGUUAUGCUUGAGGUAGAUGUAAUACUCACCUAUAUCCUUAGUGAUGGACAAUGAGUCUUCCAUGCUUAUUAUAGGGUUAACCCCUCACUAACAUGUUGAAGCUAUCCUCACAUGGUGGGUUUGUGGUUUUAGGUUGAGUUUUCUCCCUUGGAUAACAAAAGACCUUAAGGCUUUUGGACCAAUCAAUUCACCAACUCAUUUUUUGAAAUUUUUACCCCAAACUACGAGGUUUUGAUCCUAAUCUUUUUUAAGAUGGUACGUAGGCAAUGGGUUUAUCCAUCCAAACACAAAAAUGUAAAUAACUUGCAUAUUCUCUUCUCAUCUCUUCAAUCAUGUUUGCACAAACAAAUUUUCACAAAAUACCAACCUUACAACAAGUGUGAAAAGGGCUCCCUAGGAGUACCUAGGAUGUUUUGGGUGCUUAAAACCUUCCCAUUGCAUAACCAACCCCCUUACCCCGAUCUCUGACAUUUUUACUAGUUUUUAAUUCGAUAAAAUUUUUAGGUUUUUAUUCGCUUUCUAACCAUUCCUUUGAAUAAAUAGAAGUGCGGUGGCGACUCGACUUGUAUGGUUUACCUUAGAUUUAGUCAAUAUCUCUAAUGGUAACGAAUACCCCACUACAAUAAUAAUUAAGGUGUUUUGAAUGGAUGACGAUUACUCGGAUAAUCGAGUAAGACAACUCGUAUCCUAAUGGUCGGAAAAGGGAAUAGAAAACUCUAGACCACUUUCUCUUUCAUCUGAGUGGUUAUGAAAAUAAGUUUACGUAUGGUUGAUGUAUUUUUAGAAUAGACGACAAGUACUUGAAUGGUUGAGUAAGACAACUCAUAUCCAAGCAUUUGAGGAGAGGAAUCUAAGGCUCAAGACCAUCUCCCUUUUCGUAUAGUUUGUUAUGAAAAUGAUUUGAUUAAGUUGUAUGUUUGUGGAAAAAUGACAAUUGCUCGACUGGCCGAGUAAGAGAACUCGUAUUCAAGCAAUUGAGGAGAAAAGUUGAAAACUCAAAGUCAUCUCCCUUUUCAUUUCUUAUUAUGAAAAUAAUUUGAUUUAGUCGGGUUUGGAAGUUUGUAGAGGAACGACAAUUAUUUGACUAACCAAGUAAGAGAACUCGUAUUCAAAUAAUCGAGGAGAAAAAUUGAAGACUCAAAGUCAUCUCCCUUUUCCUUUCUUAUUAUAAAAGAGUUUGAUUUAUUUGUUCUUAAGUGGGUGGAAGUGACGACUAUUUGACUAACCGAAUAAGAGAACUCGUAUUCAAAUAAUCGAGGAGAGGAAUUGAAAACUCAAAGCCACCCCCCUUUUCAUUUCCAAAUGAAAUGUUGUUUGAUUGUGAUUGGAUACGUUCUUUUAAUUUUUAAUGAAAAUACUCGACAUUGGAUUGAGGUUUUGAUUUUGUGUUUAUGAAUGAAAUGAAUUUUAUUUUAGUGUAUUAUUCUUCUACUCGAUUAAUUAAUAACUGGAUAGGUCUCAUUGUAAGAAAGCCCAAGAGUAAGCUAUGUGAGGUUGAUGGCGAUACUUUUACAAGUAAUCGACUUACAAAGGCGUUUUGAAAAUGGGCUCGACUUUGAAUCGAGAAGUAUGUGUUUUAUUUUUUUGAAAUUGGCUCGAAUGAUUUUAAAUUGGUGAUAACGACAUAAUCUCGUCAUAAUUAUAACAUGUCAUCCAUAUGCACUCGAGACUCGGUAUAAAUAAAUAAAUACAAAAUAAUCAUGCACAUACACUCCACAAAAAUCAACAAUUAUCUAAAUUAUAAGUGAUAUUAAUAAUAAUAUAAUUAAUUAAUUAAAUAUUUAGUAGAUUAUUUUGAUUAAAUAAUAAGUAAUUAAAAAAAUGAUGAUAUAACCAAAUAAUUGCAUAUUUAUCAUUAAAUAUUAAUAAUAGUAAUAACAAUAUAAUUGUGUAUUUACUAUUAAGUACUAAUAAUAAUAAUGAUAAUAAUAAUAAUAAUAUAUAAUUAUAACUUUGAAAGAAAGUAAAUAAAAUAAAAUAAAUGAAAUUAAAGUAAAAAAAUAUUUAAAUUUUGUAAAAUAAUUAAACAACUAUCAUUAGGAAUUAAACUAUUAUAUAUAUAUAUAUAUAUAUAUAUAUAUAUAUAUAUAUAUAUAUAUAUUAUAAGUAUAUAUGUAAAAAAUAUAAAUAAAAAAGAAAGAAUAAGUCAAAAAAUAAAGAAAAUGGGCUAGUGGUGGUGAAAAAUUAAUAAAAUAAUUUAAUCAAAUUAAAUCAAAGAUACCGAUGAAUUAAUUUAAAUAAAAUAGGGUCUACUUAGGAUAUUUAAGUAAUUUAGAUUAACAAAAAUAAUUCAGGAUAAUGAGUCAUUAAAUUAAAAAAAUUAGUAAAUUGAAUUGUUAGUUAACUAAUUGAAGCUAAUUGUUAGCUAACAUGAUUAUCUUUUAAAUCCUCCACACAGUAAAACAGAAGAAAAAGAAAUGGGCUAAAACCGAAUUUAAUGAAAAAUAGGAAUAAACAAAUGUGCUUUUUUUGACUGAACAUAUGCUAUAUUCUAAUAUGCAAUGUCACCUAGUAUUCAAAGUUAAUUUAUUGUUUUUUAUUAAUGAUGCAUUGAAUAAAAUAACAAAUAGGGGUGGCUGUCAGCAUAGCCCACACGGUAUCCCCAAGAAAAAUCAAUUACUCACCAUAAGAACCUUCCAUAUACUAACAUAUGACACCUAAUGAUGUUUAAAGAGAAAUAAACAAUAAUAAAUGAAAAUUAAAGUAAUGCUUGGAUAUUUUAAAAAACGUAAGGACGAAAAACGUUCCUUCACAAAACCAAUGCACCUCUUUCUUAAUCUAACACCCUUUCCUCCUAUCCAUUUCUUCUCUCCAAAAGGGUUUAUGAAAAAAAAGUUCAGUUCACCAUCAAGUUUAUCGCACAACAAAAAUAUUCAAACACAAAGAUCUACCUCAAACGAUACAAAACCCCAAAUCUCAAAAUUAGCAACGAAAUUUUGCAAACAAAAGUUUAUCGCACAACAAAAAUAUUCAAACACAAAGAUCUACCUCAAACGAUACAAAACCCCAAAUCUCAAAAUUAGCAACGAAAUUUUGCAAACAACCUCCAAAAGACCCAAAUCGUGACUUUACAAAAAAAAAACUAAAAAUUGAAACAAAUCGAACCAUCAUCAUCAAUAAAUUCAAGCAAUCUAAAGGAGGCUCCUACUCAGUUAAUCACGACAAACAUGCAGGCACAAUCAAUUUGGAUCCAAACAUGAAGAAAUUUACCUGACCGAAGCUAGUUCAACGAAGUUCUCUCCGGCAACCCUCAGAUAACUCUAUUUCCUCUUCUUUUCGGUUUUACGAUGGCCUCCUCCUUCUGUUUUGAUGUUGUGUUAUCCUUUAAUGUUAGGGUUUUUUGUGUUUUUUACAAAAUAUUUUUUGAUUUGUUCUGCUCGGAUCCUCAAAAACGUGUGUUCUGUUUCUUUUGAGUUAACAAAGAAAAGAUUACUUUGACAAUUUCUUCUGGAUUUUAUUAAAACGUGUUACUGUUAAUUAGUUUUGUGGUUUAUAUACAUGAAUGUUGGUUUAUGUGAUAUAACUUGUUGGAUCCUAUUUCCAGAUUUUGUGGUAUGAUUAAUCUAUGGAUUUAAAGUUGUUUAUUUGGAUAAUGCAGUGUGUUUCUGAGCGCUUCCUUUGAUUCAUUGUGUAACAUAUUAAUUUGCUCUUUCUAUUAAUUAUUUUCCAGGUUUUUAAGUGCUUAUUUGAUAAGAUGUUUUUAAUUUUGAAUUGGUUUUGCAGGUUAAGUGAUAUUGAUGCUGAUUGAUUGAAAAAGGGGCGCUGUUAUUCAACAGGUUUUGGAAAAGUUCUGAAGAGUUGCUUUUGAAUUGGGAACUUCCAAAAGAGCUUUUGGAAAAGUCUGUGAAAUUUGCUUCAAACUGCUGUGUUUACAGCUUAUUCCAAUUUUUUUAAUAAAAUUAUUUCUGAUGUAACAGAGACUUUUUGGAUUAUGAACUUAGGGACUGCUUGUAACAUGUACAAAUUUAAUUUGGAAUUUCUCUUUUUGGACAAUUAUGUAAUUGUUUUGGAUUAUUAGGAAUUUGGGAUUAGUUAGGAUAUAUUAAACUGUAAGAAAAAUUGGGUUAGACGUGUAACCCUUUGGAUCAUUUGCAAAAUUUACAUAAUUUUAAUUUAAGUUUUUUUGUUAUUUAUGUGGAUACUUUUGGGUUAUUAUGUAACAUUUGGAUUAAAUAGGAAUAUGAUUUGGGAAUAUUAUUUGUGUAAUUAGUCUCUCUUUCUUUUUUUUUUAAAGAAAAAUUAAACUUUGUCUUAAC
rnacentral:lncRNA from 1 species